GGCCUCGUAGCUCAGCUGGUAGAGCAUGCGCGUACAAAGCGUAUGUGGUGUGCAUGCGUGGGUUCGAAUCCCACCGAGGCUA
rnacentral:tRNA from 1 species